rnacentral:rRNA from 1 species
AUGUCCAGCGAGCCGCCGCCGCCGCCGCCGCUGCCGCCGUCGGGGGCUGCGCCAGCAGCGAAACCUCCGUCCAUCACCUCCACCACCCUCGCCACCGCUGCCCUCGCUACCGCCGCCGACGGAACCACCACCACCAUAUCCUCCCUCGGCCAAGACCAGCUUCUCGACAUCUUCCUCCGCCUGCCCAACCUCCCGGACCUCGUCCGCGCCGCGCUCACCUGCCGCCCAUGGCUCGGCGCCGUCCGCUCCUCCCCGUCCUUCCGCCGCCUCUUCCGCGCCAUCCACCCGGCGCCCCUCCUCGGGAUCUUCCUCAAAGUGGACGACGACACCGCCCCCUCCUUCGCCCCCCUGCGCCGCUCGGAUCCCGUCGUCACCGCCGCCCUCCGCCGCGGGGACUUCUUCCUCACCUCCCUCCCCCUGGACGAUGCCUGGACUGUCACGGACUGCCGCGACGGUUACAUCCUCCUAUGGAAUACUUUCUGGGCCGUGGCUGUGGUGAACCCCAUGACCUGGGCUGUGGAUGUCAUCUCCUUCCCCGACGACGUCGCGGAUGGGAGCCUUCGCGAUUUCGCCUUCCUUGGUUUCCACCUGCUGACUUCCGACGAGAACCCCCGGUCGUUCCGUGUGGUCUGCCUCUGCGCCGACGUGUCUAGGGUUCGUGCCGCAGUCUUCUCGUCGGAGACCUCGGAUUGGGCCGUCCACCCGUGGGUGGAGAUCGGUGGUGACAACAGCCUCAAGUACGGUGCGGGCACGCUGGUGGAUGGUUCAGUUUACUGGCCUUUCUAUGGCGAAGGACGCAUUAUCAGGAUCAACACAGCCACCAUGGAUGUCUCCUCUCUGGAUCUACCCUCACACACAACUAUUGAUUACUGGCAAGACGAUUUCAUGGUUGGGGAUACCAAGGAUGGAGAACUCUGCAUUGCCCACGCAUCCGAUGAUUUUCUCCUCCAUGUUUGGAUCCGUAGUGUGGGCAGUGAUGGCAUUGGGAUUUGGGCGCGGCAGAACAUAGUCUCUUGCAGUGCAGAAAUUGAUCGGGUCACUCGGGGCUUGGAGGGCCAAGUCAGGGUUGUGCAAGUGAGGUCUGGAUGUGUCUACUUCUCCAUGACACGCAUGACCCUUGCUGGCACACAGCGCACCUGGUUCUUCUACCUUUCAUUGGAGACCAUGGAGAUCGAGUUACUAAUCCACGGCACAUUUGAUGACUCUGCCUUUCCGUAUCAUAUGGCCUGGCCUCCUUGUUUGAUUGGUGAUGAUGGGAGCACUGGACAUGAAGUUGAAGCUUCUUGCUGA